UCGUGUGAAAGCGAGAGAGAGAGAGAGAGGGAAGGAGAGAGAUAGGGAUAAAGAGAAGAGAAAAUCGUUAUUAUCGCAGGUGCGUAUAAUAUGCCGCUUAAAAUCCACCUUGGGGUGAAUUCACUGACGUAUAUCCCGCACCCUUGUAAAAUCUCGCGCCUACACGUUUUCACCCCUCGUACGCUAUUUGUAAGCGAAUCCAGUAUGGCGUGUGCCACACACACACACACAGGCUUAUGACGUAGGACAAAUUCAGAGGCAAAUGGAUGCGAUUUGAACUCGGUGGGAUGGGUCUCAGGUGCGAUCGCUAAUUCCAUAUUCUCUCUCUCUCUCUCUCUCUCUCUCUAUUUGUUAACUGGAGUCAGGUGAAAACCUUGAAUGUCUCCCUAAUAUCGUACGUACUCUAUAUACGUAUAUAUGUAUGUACUUUCGCGUGUACGAUACUCGUACAUAACGUAUUAUACUCGAUCGAUCUCGCGUCCAACUUUUUACAGCUUUUCGUCGAUUUCCUCUCUAGCGAUUUCUUUGAAUCGUCAUUGCGCGGUGAUACGUUUCACGGUUAACGAACCACAAUCUAUUUAACGAACUCGUUUUCGAGGACAUUAAAAACUGGUAAUGCCGCGUGUUAUAUAUCUGUACGUAUCUGCCCUUCGAUCUCUCUUUUUUUCCGAACUAACGAUUCUUGAUCUUUAAGCAGUUUCGAUUCACGGCUGUAUCCUCGCUGAUACGUGCACGUUAACGUUUAGUCGACACGUUUUACGUUUUUCUUUCCUUUUUCUUUCUUUCUUUUUUCCUUCAAAUAUUUUCACGUAAUUAUUUUCCAUCGUCGAUAUCGAACGUGGUAAUAAUUUUUGUUUUUAUAUCUUGUGCGCCCGAUCCUCCGAUUCGCGUUACUUUUUUUUUUUUCUAGAGGGAAACGAAAUAAUUAUCGAGUUUAGUUAUAAAUUUAUCGGUUGAUUUCGUUGUCCGAUCGCUUUCAUCAUCGUAAACGACACGGCAAAUUUCUUCCAAUUGGAAACAGUUUUCGUUUGAUCGUUUACUACGACGAGACUAUCGCGUUCCCAUCGAUCGUAACAAUUUUCCUGCCGAUACAGAACCAUUAUUUACGAUUCGGGCAUUUCUACGGAUUAAUUAUAUAUACAAAAAAUUUGUCUUUUUUUCUCUUUUGCGAUUUUUUUUAGCGUAUUUGAUGUUUCAUUAUUUCUCCUUGGUAUACGUGUAUGUACACAAAUGGACGUGGUCAUCCUUUACCAUUUCGAAUUGAUACACGACGUGUCAUCUAUAGCGAUAAACUCGUACAUUAAUGUUUCACAAGUUUCCUUUGCCGGUUUGACGCGAUGCCAACGUUAAUGAUAUAUCAAAUUUAUCACGUAGAAUUCUUAAGGCGUUUUAAAUUCCGAUCGGUAAUUAUUUUCAUGUUGGAUGAAAAAUUGUAGGUACGUUGAAAAAAAGAAAGAAAAAGAAAAGAAAUGGUCGCUUAUACAUCGACAAACGUUGCAACGGCUGUGUUUACAUAUUUAUCAGAACGAAACAAACUGAAAUUCUUGUUCUUCCUUUAAUUACAACGAUGCAAGCGUCGAAACGCUUAUCGUUAUCCUCCUCGAACGUUACCGGCGUUUUCCGCAAAUUGAAUUAAAGAGAGGUAUUUGCCUGAAUUCGAUGCUGCCGAGUGGACAGAGCGUUGUGGUAAAGCCGUGUACGAGAUUAUAUGGAAAGCUUCGAGAGGAAAUUCAGGCCGAGACAUCGGUAUACCGAGUGAAUCUCGUUGACACACAAUAAUAUUCUAAUUAUUGCACCACGUUUUCCGAACAAAUUGGAAUUUCCAUUUUCAAGAAUCUCGUGUUUUUCGACAAGUGGAAAGCGAGACCGAGAGAGGAUGAGAGAGUGAAAGGGCGAGGGCGUACGUGUGCUCGCGGUACGUGUGGGUGUAAGAGAAAAGUACCGUACGAGUGUAAUUUGAAACGUAAAGUGGCUUAAUUAAAAGAUACGAAACACAAAAUUCAUUAGAUCAUUUUGCAUAUUAUUUCAAAGCAAAAUAAGAAAAAGAAAUUAAAGAAGCAAAAGAAAGAAAGAGAAAAAGAGAAAGGAGAAAGGAUGUGACUCCUGCAACGUCUGUAUAAUGUAUAAGAAAGAUUUCUUCUCGCUAAUCGAACGGCUUCUUUCUCUCACGUUCGAUUUUUUUCUUUUUGUUUCGUCGAUUAGACAAAGAAUAUGAUGUCAAUCUGAGAUGUGGCAGAGAAUGGCAUGCGCGUUGAAAAUGGGACAAUACAUUCGCGACUAGCUCCGGCCACAACCUCUGGCAAUUACUACGGAAUAGGGUCACUUUGAAUCGUACAGCUAAACGAUUUAUCGUCCUUGCAUCCUUCUCUGCCUCUACUUCUCUCUCUCUCUCUCUCUCUCUCUCUCUCUCUCUCUCGUUCUAUCUCCGUUAGCGCCUGGAUCGCAUUGGCAUAUAAACGACUACUUAUUGCUUUUCAAAUUAUCCCGGCGAAUUCGAUUUCUCCGUUACGAACCGUCGAGCUAGGGCACCGUCAAAUUAACCAACUUAAUUAGCGUAUACGAUAGUUUUACAUUGUGGAAUAUCGAACAGUUUGUUUGUUUGUUUGUUUGUUUGUUUCUUUAUUUUUAUCAUUCUUUCAUUUUCUUUUUUUUUUAUAUAUUCACGAUCAUUUUUUCCUUUAUCGUACUCUAAAAAGAGUUUUACAUUUACGAUCAAUUUUAUUUUUAAUCAUUCGACUCCGAUAUAAUAACAAAGACGCGCGAUUAGUGAUCCGACAACGAGAUAAAUCUCGACAGUCAAUUUGUUUUAUUUUCAUCUAUAUCAACUACAAUCGGUUCUUCUGUUUUGUUCAAAAAAGAACACUGAAAAAGUAUAUACGAUCCUCAUAAACGGUUCGUCGAAUGACACGACAAAAACAUUCUCUGUUUAUUUCCAAUUUCAUUCUUAUACGUCUUGUUUCCGUCGAGCGAACUUGAAAAAAUAUCUUUUGUUUACGUUACUACGUCGAAGGAUAUUGUUGUUGUUGUUCGUGAAAUUUCGUCGCUCGUCGUCGCGUUUAAUUAGUUCCUUCCAAGAAACGUAUUCGUGAUUGUUUCUUAUCGGAUCGAAAGGUCGCAGAAUUACGAGCGACGUAAAUCGGUGAUUAGAAUCCAUCAGUCUGUUAUCUUUCGUCGUCGUGAAAUGUUCUCCGUCGAAUUAUCGUGGAAGAAAAAGAAUUUGGAACGAUCGUCGCGUCGAAAUAAUCAUGUGAUUUUUUAAUAUAUUUAUAAAGCGAUAAUCAAACCGAGGUGUAUCUCUCAUUUCGUUCUUUUUUUUUUUUAAUCAUGAUCGAUUAGUCGAAAGGAAGAGGACGAACAAGUAUCUCUCGUCCUUGCAUCAAGAUACAUCUUUGAUCCAACAAAGGCAUUUUUUGAUUCUCAGUCAAGUUUUUCACGUCACGUUCGAGUCCUAUCUUAAGCAAAUAUAUAAGACGUAAGAAAGGACUAAUGUGUUGUUACGUUUUGGAUCAUUACGUCUAUUUUAAGGAGAUGCUAUUACCUGGUGGUAACGUAAACAACGGAAUAUAAGAUUAUGUACGUACUUACUCGUCCCUUUGAACGAUAAUUACGAUGCUACCGAUCGGUAAGAUCAUUAAAACUACAUUAUUUUGCUUUUAUAUUUUAACUGUAUCAUGACAGCCAUUUUUUAUUUAACAUCGCUCGACUUAACUUAACGUCGGGUCCCGUUAAAAUUGCACGAUUUUAAUUAUUCUUCGUUUAAAUCCAGGAAAGAGGAGAAGGAACUUACGAACGAUGUUAAAAGAAACGAAGAGACUGUUAAAUUGGGUAGACUUCAAAAGUUCCAUCUCGUUCGAGCGACCUUUCGAAUCUAACCCUUCAACUAUUUUCGAGAUCACGAACGAUUGGAGAAAGUACAUAUAACUCUUUCCCUCGUAUUCGAUAAAAGUGCUCAUAUUCCAUUUUACUCCUUUCUUUUUUCUUUUCUUUUUUCUCUUUCCUCCCUUUUUUCCUUUUCUUCGUAAAAGGAAUACUUCCCGUUCGUUAAUCUUGAUUAGUCCGUGCUAGCAUCAAACGUUAAUGGAAAUGCUGGUACUCGUUAUAUAUGAUGCUUGGACAGAGGAAUUAAAAUCUCGAAUGGAUUAUAUUUAUGCGAGAACACGAACCGAGAAUGAUACGCGAGAGCAUUGUCGUUCAACGUUAGAUAUCAAAUCUUUUCUCUCUUUCUCUUUACCUCUUUCUGUCUCUUUCUGUCUUUUUAUUAUAUUUUGACGUUUUCAAUAAAGCUUGUUUUUUUUAAAAAAUGGAUAAAAGGAAUCGUUCUUAAGAAAUACGCAUAAUACUGUUCGGUACUAUUUUCAUAGCUGCUCUUCCAUUUCUCGGCUUCUGGCAGUAAUCGUAACUGUCGUACAUGAGAUAUAAGGAAUCGACGCUGUAAAAAGAAACGGUUCGAGCAGCGGCAACGGCAAUGCUCGAGAGUACACCUGCCAUUAAAAAGCUUCUUCCGAAGUAAUAGUAAUAGUAGUAGUAGUAGUAGUAGGAGGAGGAGGAGGAGGAGGAGGAGGAGGAGUAGCAGCAACAGUAGUGGUAGUGGUAGAUCCGCAGGUAAGUACGUGCGGAUAUUCCACAUUCGUGUGACGAGAGAUUUCGAUAGAAAAUUUUUCCCUGGUUUCUUCUACGUUCUACAUUUUUGAAACGGCGCCACCUCGACGGUAUCAAGACUGUGCGACAGAUCGAGAAUUUUAUCAUCGAACAUCUAGAAAAGAUAAAAGAAAGAGAGAAAGAAAAAAAAAAUACUUUCGUAUGUGCGAGCGUGAUUUAUCGUUACGUCGAUCCGUGAAAUAAUCGUAUUCGAUUUAAUUGCGCUCGAAGUGGCUUAUAAAAUGACUGAAAAAAAUUAGUGAAAAAACAUGAGAGAAAGAGAAAGAGGAAGAAAAAAAAUGAUAUCCGCAUAAAGUAAAAAUUCAUCCAUCCCGCGUAAUUUUAUAUUUUUAAAUUACGGAAGAAUUUAAUGAGUGCAGACCGGGUACGUGGGAAGUAGUAAGAAACGAGAGCGGUAUGCCGCUCACACCGAGAGAGAGAGAGAGAGAGAGAGAGAGAGAGAGAGUGCUUCUCUUUCUACUUUUGCCUAGCUACGGAAAAAGUUUGCCCGUUGAAAAGAAGCGUAAUAGAAUUUAUAAAGCGACGGAUGAAAAAUUUUUCUCGUCUAGAGUAGUAGAGGAAGGGACGGGAUUGUAGUAGUAGUCUCGUGCGGUCGCCACGAAAUUUGAUUUUACGCGUCACUCGUAUCUAUACUCUGGAUUCAAUAAUAGUGAUCUUAUCUUGCAAUUGCUCUCGCAAUUCUUGUUUUUUCUCUCUUCUUUAUACUUAAAAAAAGAGAGAGAGAGAGGAAUGUUUGAUAAAAUUUUCUAAUUAAUUUUUAAUGUUAAAUUUUAAUAUAUCACGCAUUUCGAGAAAAAAUUUAUUGCUACAUCAUUUUUCUUUCUUUUUAUUUUCAUAAAAAACUAAUUAAUGGAAAAAAAAGAAAGAGAGAAAGACAGAGGAACAAUAAAUAAAUAAAUAAAUAAAUAAAAAAAAAAACGACGAGCAGUGAGAACUCUUUCGAUUAGCGGCGCGAUCACGCACGAUGUUUCAGUAAAAUCACAACGAUACGAUGGGUGAUGAAUUCGAGGCCCGAAACGGUUCAUAUUUUUCUGCAAUUUGCUGGCUGCGCACGGUCGUUGAUUAAUUACGCUCUACGAUGUAUUAGUGCGCGGGCAACCGGUGAAAGGAAGCAGUUGAUAACGAUGGAUAAAUAAUCUCGAGAUAAAAACUGAUGUAACUAGGGAAAAAGCGUGAAAAUAAAUUGGAGGUAUCGCGCAUGCGCUAACUGUUGGCAGCAAUAGUAGUAGUAAUAGUAGUUUAGUAGUAGUAGUAGUAGUAGUAAUAGUAGUAGUAGUAGUAUAAGAGAGUCGUCUCGACAAUCCGGAUGAUUUAUGAUUCGUGAAACUAAUUUGGGAAUGAUUUAUUAUUUUUGUCGAUCGCGCAAGCAUCUAUGUAGUUUCUUACAUCGGUCUACGAGUUCCGAUUCCAUUUUGUAGAAUCAAUCUUACGAUCUUGUUGCUGGACCACAAAUACACCCACGACUUUUACGGUCACCACAAAUCUCGUUUCAUUCGUAGUUUUCCUUCUUUCGAGAAAAAUUCCUUCGAAAGAUUCCUAUCUCGCCUUCUUUGUCUCUUCUUCCGUUAUCUUUCUCUUUCUCUCUCUCUCUCUCUCUCUCUCUCUCUCUCUCUUUCUCUCUCUUAAGAAGAGAAGAAACGCGAAGAUAGAUUAUUAUCGUCGAGAUAAAGACAUCCUUAAAUCUUUAAUACGAUGCUGAUAAAUGUGAUAACAAUCCAAAGAUUUAUACCUGUUUCAAUCUGUGUCAAUAUUUUCAAGGACAAGGAUUUUCUUUCUCACGUUUCCUUAUUUUUCCUCUUUUUUUUUUUAAUUUUUUUUUGUAAAUUUUUCUGCUUCGUUCUUUAAAAUCACGCACAGUUAUGGAUAACUAUUCAUAGAGAUAUUAUUUUGUAAGAAAUUGAAAUCUGGCUCUCUUUCAAUCUCGGAUAAACCAUCCAAUGGGAUUUACUUUGAACUUUGUCUUCUUGUUACCUCGUAGAAAGAGCUGCACGGUUAACCUGCUGCGAGAUCAGGUUUCCUGAGAAAGGUAGAAAGAGAAAGAGAGAGAGAGAGAGAGAGAGAGGAAGCGAAAGAGAUAGGUAGAGAGAAUUGGCUUUACGAUCGUAUUUAUUGCCUGUAUACGUACGUAAUCACUCGGUUGGAUACAUAGGUUUCCAAUUAAUAAUUCCUACUAAAGGAGGAUCGGAACUUUGUAUAGCGUCCUUUAAACAAAGCCGAUAUUAGUGUAAGGUGAAUCCUUUGACCGCAUAGAAACUACUAGCAACGUUUAUCGCUUAGAAACGAUUCAUACUUUGGUGUCCGCUUGUUCGUAUUAAAAUAAAGGAGAUCAGAAAUUCAAUAAACAACGGUCUUAUCUCUGCUUAUCACAUAGAUUUUAGUUUAUAAUUCCAAUGGAGAUUACGAAGAGCAAAGGUUUUAAUUAAAAAAAAAUAAAAUCAAUAUCAAACGGAUGUUAAUAUCGACGAUAAUAUAUUCCGACGAAUGUCGAUUAUUCGAUAAUAAUCUCUUUGUAAGGAAUAUUAAAAUUUCGCAAAAUUUUCCCCCUUGUGAUUAGGAUAAUAUUUAGAUAAUAUCUAAACUCGACGUAACUCGAGCGGUCUACCUCGUCAAAUUAAAGCCUCCUUGAUAGGAUCUAAUAUCUCGAUCAAAGAGGAGAAGAGGGCCUUGGUAAAGACGAGAAGAGGGUUUUGGUAAAGACGAGGCAAUCUCGCGUUCGUGCCGGCGGCCACGUAUCGUCCAGAGAAGAACGUAGAGAGCAGAUCUGAGCUUAGGAAGAUCCUGCUUGGUGGUGAUCGGCUCGUGCAAGCGUUAUUCGGUUUCGAAAUUCUAUAUAAGUUCGAUAAUCGCCUCUAGCUAGCUUAACAGAGAGAGAGAGAGAGAGAUAGGAAAAUGAAAACAAAGAGAAAGACAGAGAACAAUUUGUUAUUCCACGAUCAAGUAUUGCCGAAAGAAAAUAAUCAUAUAAUAAAAUAUUACAUAAAACGAAAACAAGUAAACAUUAUCGAAAAAGUGGUAAAUAAAACAAAAUAGUCGUUCUAUUAAUCAUGACCAUAAUAGAAAUAAAAAGAGAAAGAGAGAACGGUAGCAUAGAAAGGGUCGAGGUAAGGGAAAUCGAUUCUCUAAGAUUUGCCAUGUAUACCUGUAGAUAUAUACGGUAGUAUGUACGGCGGGAAAUUCAAUAGCCACAACGAUCUGAGAAGACAGCGUGCCAUCGUCUUUCACGGAAACCGCUUCGUUGCUGGAGGGUGACGAUGGUGGCAAAGGGUCGUGGUACCGAGGAUACGUCACCUUUGACAUCGACUCGCACUUAGGCUGUGCCAAUAUACCUGCAAGAUGUCCUUUGCAACGUGAGACUACGACGUUACUAGGGUGAUGACGAUGGUGGAACAAUGAUACGAUCUCUCUCUCUCUCUCUUUUUCUCUCCUCUCUCUCUCUCACACACACACACACACAUACACAAAUAUACAUGUACGAAGCAAUCGCUUAAAACGCUUCUCUCUUACUCUUGCUUAGGUUAAUUUUACACCAGAUAGAAGAUUGGUAUAGCUUUGAGGAAGAAAUUGGAAGCUUCGCUGUCGUACAUCUAUUCUAUACUUAUUUAUUUAUUUCUUUAUUAUACACGAAUAAAAUAAAAAAAUUAUAAUUCUUUCUCUCUCUCUCCCUCUAUUUAUUUUUCUAUAAUCGGUACUCUCUAGUCAUGCGAUUCGAUGGUCAUUACAGACGAUUGUAACGGAGAACGAUGAUCUCUCGCGUCGUGCUUUAUCUCGUUAGAGCGUUGCUUUCCCAAUCGGUUAAGGUGGUGAUAGCUCGUGAGAAAAGUCUAGAAAAUGGUCGACUUUCCAUUAGGGUCGAUCUACUACCUCCAUCUCGCAUCUUUUUCUCUUUCUUCGAUUAAACUACUCCGGCUUAUCACGCGAUCGUAUUUCUACGUCUAUCUAUCAUCUUUUACCACUGAUUCUUUCCACGAUUUCUGUUGGGUUCGCCGGAAAAUGAGAUUUAGACACGGUGCUGAAGAUGUGAGUGAGAAAAUGGAAUUUAGCGAAGGGUUGAACCUACCUCGCGAAUCUACGUCGUAUAUACGUACGUAUAUGAAGAUAUAAAUAUGUUUACACGUAACGUUCGUAUGUACGUACAUGUGCAAACUCGUACCUGCAGUGUAAAAUGUAUAAGAACGUCUACGUUAUAAGCGAAGAUAUUACGUAUUUUGUAAACAUAAUAGAAAAAUAUUUUUCUCGUGUAAUUAUUCCUCUAACGUACGAUAAUAAAUAUUUUAUUUUUAAUUUUUUUAUUUCUAAAAAGAACGAAUAAGGAACGUAGCAAACUAUGCAAACUAAAAGUCAACCGAUUGGCGUGCUUUCAAAGCUUCAUAUUACGUAAGAAAACUCAAUUUUAACAAUGAUCCUCCUAUCGUCAUCGUACCACCGCUAUCUAUUUCCUUCCGUUUAAUCCUCUUUCCUUGGCAUGUCUAUUUGCAUAUAUUAUCGCGUUUGCUUGCGUCAUGCGUUCCUCUUCGAAACAUUGAAAGUGAAAUAUAACAGGUAGAAUGCACCCUCUAAUAAUAUCCCUUACGAAUUGUCAUUUGGCAAAAACUCAUCGGUCGAGAAUGUAAAACGUUUUCAUAAUAGCAAAAAAGAAUAAUUAUUAAACCUGUUAACAUUAUCGUAAUUAAAUAUUUCGCUUAAUAAUAUCCAUAUAAUUCCUUCUUAUUAAACUGAUAAACAAUUAAUAUAUAAAUUGUAGUCAACUCGGUAUAUAUGUAUGUAUGUGGGUACAUAUAUGCGUGACACCAACUGGACAGAUGACUAUCCCGUGGAGAUUCCAAUAUCGCACUUUGUCCCGAGCCAAACUAAACUCAAUAGCCGCAACGAUGUGGCGCGGGCGGCGUGGUGGGAGGUUGAGAUUUUAUGCGGUGACCACUUGGCACGAAGUGAAUUAAACGUGGGCACGUGGACACGUGUGCGUACUGAGUAAUGUGUGUUGAAGAGAGAAAGAGAGGAUUGUAAAGGUCGAUGUCGUUUCUGAGGGAAGCCGCGAUAAAUGUGGAUGUAUAUGUGUAUGCGUGUUUGUAUGUCUGUACAUAUGCGAAAUGUGCAUGUGGUAGAAACGAAUGACCCUACGAUGAGGUUGCAAGUCGGUAAUAAACGCCGAUGAAAUCCUUUGUUACACGACGUCGAUGGAACUCGCAAGCCACGUGUCCGACACGGAUGAGAUACUACAACAAUGACUUAGAUAUGUGUCCUGUGUGUAUGUGUGUGUAUAUAUAUACCUACCUGCUACCAUUUCGGGCAUCAGACAGGUGAACGAGCACAUACCGAAUACCAUCUGCUCUCGAGUCAAGCAAACGUUUCUCACCGAACCACGUCGAACGCAACAGGUUCGAUAUUUGUCAUUCUGCCCGAACGACGCUAGUCCCAAUCGAUCGGUUCGAGGAAUUUAAAUCCAGUCUCGAUUAAUCCUACGCUUGUUCGACUUAUAAACGCGAUAUCACUUUAUCGAUCAUCCGGUCGUUUCGUUCUUAAUUUUAUUAUAUAUUUAUUAUUACUUUUUUUUUAUAUAUAUAUAAUCGGUUAAAUCUUUAUCUUGAAUUUUGUUAUAUCGUAAUACUUUUAAUCGUCCGUUUCAAUCUCUUUUUUACAUCGAAAAACAUGUAAUCUUUUAGAAAGAGAGAGAGAGAGAGAGAGAGAGAGAGAGAGAGAGAAAAGUUAAAUUUCUGACUUUACGCCUUUCUAAAGAUUUAUAACACCAGCAGACGCUUUUGAGAUUUAUCUUUUUCCUUGAUUAGAAAGCUCGAAAUGCUUAGAAAAUAUUUAUCGUUACAUACAUUUUUCAUGAUAUGUUGGUAGACUUGUACGGACAGGUGAGUAAGCACGAUAUCCGUCCGUGUGAUAUCGUUGAACGACGCGAGCUUCUACGAGCCUGCCGUUUUGCCAGCCAGAAAAGCAACAGGUCUGUGACGGUUGCUAUUGCUGCUUCUGCUAUUGCUGUUAUUGCUGCUUUUACUACUGCUGCUUUUGCUUCUGUUACCGUCGUCAUUGCCCAAAAGUAAAGUGACUCUGACGCUAUGACAGUGCUCUCGAGCGAAGUAUACAUCGUAUACUUACUUACCUUUCCUUAGAUCAAUGUAAAUCGUAUUUGAUUUGGAAGUUUGCCAUCAACUUGAUGCACUAAACCAUCCUUGUUCUUUUUCGUUCUCGACAGACGUGCAAAUUUUUAUUUCCCUUCUCGCGAUAGAUAUGUUAAAGAUUUUAACAAUACAAAAUAAGUUUAUGUAUAAAUCUUGUUUGU